GACUCUGAUGCAGCAUGCCGCGUGCAGGAAGACUGCCCUAUGGGUAGUAAACUGCUUUUAUACGGAAAGAAAAGGAGCUACUUGUAGAUCACUGACCGUACCGUACCAAUAAGGACCGGCUAACUCCGCGCCGGGUGCCGCGGUAAUACGGAGGGUCCGAGCGUUAUCCGGAAUUAUUGGGUUUAAAGGGUCCGAAGGCGGGCUAUUAGGUCCGUGGUGAAAGUCUGCUUCUCAACUGUAAAAUUGCCUUUGAUACUGAUAGUCUUGAAUUAUUGGGAAGUUGCCGGAAUCUGUAGAGUACCGAUGAAAUGCAUAUAUCUUACAUAGAACACCGAUUCGAAGGCAGA
rnacentral:rRNA from 1 species